GACCACAUUGUCGUCAAAAAAAACAGACUCCUCACUCCUGCUAAGCCGGCGCGAGCGCGGCUCUUGCAAAACCCUUGACCCGGACGGUGCGCCGCCGCCGCGGCGCCGCUUCGGCCUCACGCCAUGGCGCGGACGAUGCUGCCGUCUCCCUCGCCUCAAGCCACCGUCAAGAGAGAAAUCGACGACGCAGAGCCCAGCGCUUACACGCCGGCGCCACCGCCUCCGCCCCGCAAGAAGCGCCGCCUCCCAGUAACCCCGACCCAGCUUCCCCUAAGCCCUCCCCUCCUCACGCCCCAGACUAUCCCGUCAGUGGCAUCAGAGGGCACGUCCUUGGCCGGCUUAACGCCGACGCCCGCGGGCUCCGCCGUCAAGGUCGAGCCCGGCGCGGACGCCGGGGAUGGGGGGCACCGGAGGGCGGCCGGGGAACCGAACGAGUCGCCGGACCCCCGCUCCGUCGUGAGGCCCGCGGCAGCAGAGCCUCCCACCCUCUGGCUUAACCGACGCCGCUUGGGCCAGAUCCUCCACGAGCUCGCGGGAGCGCACGAGUGGCGCGAUGCGGCCAGCGUCGUCUCGACGCUCCUCAGCGGCAACCGAAGGGUCGACUCCUACGAGGACACCCGCAGAAUGUUCGUGGUGGCCAUGGAGAUCCAUAAGCGGCUUGCUGAGGACAGCGGCGUGCAGCAUGGUGUCAGGAGCAGCUACUACCUCAGAACACAGAAGUUGUUCAAUGUUUGGAUGCGAAAGCUGAUUUGGUUUCCUUCUUGCCCAAAAAAAAACUUGGUUACACUUGAACUGGCCCUAUUUUACCUUUCACAAGGCAACAUCGACAAUGCACACAUCGCAACAAGAACCCUUAUCGCCAAGGGCAAACUGCAGACAGAACCAAUCUUAAAUCUGGUUCAUGGUUUGAUAUCAUUUGAUAAAUGGUAUUCUGGCUUGCCUAAAGAUAUGCAAGUUGAGGAUUUUGAUGUUUAUGAUGAAUCAUGUGGUAUUUCCAUGAAGUCAAAUGGUUCUGAAGGAACUGAUCUUCUGGAUCAUUCAUAUGAGGAUAGCAUGGAUAUUGUUCAGUCCAGUUUGGCUUCUUGCUCUUCAGAAAGUUCGAUCAAUAAUGAGAAUGUAGGCAGAAAAAUGAAUAACAAACCUGGUUUUGUUCACCCUAAGGAGGAAAUAGACCCACUUGAAUCACAAGCAAAUGAAAACUUACGAAGCAUAUUUUUGGAUACCUCUGAUGGUCCUACUUGUGGAUUGGAGCAGAGCCUGCUGCCUUUAAAGCUAAAGUUUGCUACUGGGGCUUCCAAUGAUUCUUUUUAUAAAUAUAUGAAGUACAAGUCAGUGCCGAAUACCUUAUAUGAAGAUGCAGAAAAAUGUCUAAGAUUGGCUCUUUAUUCAAAUCCGCCGGUGAUGGCUGCGUUAUUGCCACUAAUACAGAUUCUCCUCCUUGGUGAUAAACUGAAAGAUGCACUAAAUGAGCUUGAAAAGGCCUGCCUCAGUUCAACAACAGCCCUACCUUUCAGGUUGAGAGGUAGGCUGCUGGAAGAGUAUGACCAAAACCAGGUAUCAACCAUUUCCUCUUGCUAUGAGGAGGCUUUGAGAAGAGAUCCUACAUGUAGCUACUCUAUGGAGAGGCUAAUCAAAAUGCAUAGAAAAGGAUAUUAUAAUGUCAUCCAACUACUCGAGGCAAUAGCUUUACAUUUAGAUUCCGUCAAUGGAAAACCCUGCAUCUGGGAAGAGCUUGUAUCAUGUUUCCUUCGGCUUUUUUCUGACAAUACUGCUGACUAUGAGGAUUGCAUAUCAUGUACUAAUACCCAUGGAGAUGAAGCAUUGGAGGUUUCCAGUAAAUUGUCUUCAGUAUUUUUUGAGCGGUUUACCAGAGAAUCAUGGAAGGCCCGAUGCAAAUGGUGGGCACAUCACCAUUUCAGCCAAAAUGCUUAUACAUCAGAAACUCGGUCAGCGACACUAGGUAUGGUGGUGCUACACUAAAAUUGGGAGCAAUGUUUAUGAGGCGUCCUAGUCGUCGCCUAGGCGACAAGGCGUGGUAGAGGCACUGGGCGUCGGGGGCGCCACGACCUGCGUGCGUAUGGCGUCCGCCAUAUGAGAUUAGGCGUCGAUUAGGCAUGGAAGGCGUCGAGCGAGCGCCUAGAGGCCUGUGGCGGACACCGGAGCAGCAAAUCAAGAGGAAGGCGGAAUCGGGCGGGGAAUUGAGCGGACACAAUGAAAACUAGCGGGAAUUGACCGCGCACGAUGAUAGUUUGGCGGCAAAUCAACCGCACGUCCGCGCUAAAAGGAAAAGGGAGGGAAUCGACCACAUAUAUGCUGUUGCGCGCGGCAAAUCUCCCGCUCAGGGGCUUUUACCGCGGGUGCCGGCAGCUGCAGCUUCACAGAGGAGGAAAAGAGGCCGCGGCGGCGGCCCUGCUUCUUGGCGGUGGAGGCAGAGGCGGAGGCUUGCCGCCUACGUUACACGAGUACGGGUACGAGUAUCGGAUACAAUACGUAUCGGAUACGCGGAUACACACUUUCUCAAAAGAAAAUCCACUAAAAUGGUGUAUCCGAGUAUCCGUAUCCGCGUAUCCGACGAGUAUCGGAUACGGAUACGUCACCCCCCUUGGAGUAUCCGUGUAACAUAGCUUGCCGCUCCUUGCUCGAGUCCACCGGCUGCGCGCCCCUCCCGCAAGUCCGCCCCUGCAUCUCCGCCUGGCUGCUCGAGUCCACCAGGGGUCCACACCUGCAGCUCCUGCCCCGUCCACACCGGCUCGCAUGCCUCCGCCGACCAUCUGCCCGUCGCCUCGUGAUUGCAAGCUCCUGGCUGCUAAGGCAGCUUGUGCUGCUCAUUUGUUUGGACCAGAAUUCCCAUAUGUCAAAGCAG